rnacentral:rRNA from 1 species
AUUGAACGCUGGCGGCAGGCCUAACACAUGCAAGUCGAACGAGUGGCGGACGGGUGAGUAAUGUCUGGGAACCUGUCCGAUGGAGGGGGACAACUACUGGAAACGGUAGCUACUACCGCAUACCAUCGGAUGUGCCCAGAUGGGAUUGGCUGGUAGGUGGGGUAAAGGCUCACCUUGGCGACGAUCCCUAGCUGGUCUGAGAGGACGACCGGCCACGCUGGAACUGGGACACGGUCCAGACUCCAACGGGAGGCAGCAGUGGGAAAUAUUGCACAAUGGGCGCAAGCCGGAUGCGGCCAUGCCGCGUAUGUGAAGAGGGCCUUCGGGUUGUAAAGCACUUUCAGCGAGGAGGCGUUACUCGCAGAAGAAGCACCGGCUAACUCCGUGCCAGCAGCCGCGGUAAUAC